rnacentral:rRNA from 1 species
GAUGAACGCUGGCGGCGUGCCUAAUACAUGCAAGUCGAGCGAACAGACGAGGAGCUUGCUCCUCUGACGUUAGCGGCGGACGGGUGAGUAACACGUGGAUAACCUACCUAUAAGACUGGGAUAACUUCGGGAAACCGGAGCUAAUACCGGAUAAUAUAUUGAACCUCAUGGUUCAAUAGUGAAAGACGGUUUUGCUGUCACUUAUAGAUGGAUCCGCGCCGCAUUAGCUAGUUGGUAAGGUAACGGCUUACCAAGGCGACGAUGCGUAGCCGACCUGAGAGGGUGAUCGGACACACUGGAACAGAGACACGGUCCAGACUCCUACGGGAGGCAGCAGUAGGGAAUCUUCCGCAAUGGGCGAAAGCCUGACGGAGCAAAGCCGCGUGAGUGAUGAAGGUCUUCGGAUCGUAAAACUCUGUUAUUAGGGAAGAACAAAUGUGUAAGUAACUAUGCACGUCUUGACGGUACCUAAUCAGAAAGCCACGGCUAACUACGUG